rnacentral:rRNA from 1 species
GAUGAACGCUGGCGGCGUGCCUAAUACAUGCAAGUCGAGCGAACAGAUAAGGAGCUUGCUCCUUUGACGUUAGCGGCGGACGGGUGAGUAACACGUGGGUAACCUACCUAUAAGACUGGAAUAACUCCGGGAAACCGGGGCUAAUGCCGGAUAACAUUUAGAACCGCAUGGUUCUAAAGUGAAAGAUGGUUUUGCUAUCACUUAUAGAUGGACCCGCGCCGUAUUAGCUAGUUGGUAAGGUAACGGCUUACCAAGGCAACGAUACGUAGCCGACCUGAGGGGGUGAUCGGCCACACUGGAACUGAGACACGGUCCAGACUCCUACGGGAGGCAGCAGUAGGGAAUCUGCCGCAAUGGGCGAAAGCCUGACGGAGCAACGCCGCGUGAGUGAUGAAGGUCUUCGGAUCGUAAAACUCUGUUAUUAGGGAAGAACAAAUGUGUAAGUAACUGUGCACGUCUUGACGGUACCUAAUCAGAAAGCCACGGCUAACUACGU